rnacentral:rRNA from 1 species
GUGCAGCAGUCGCGAAACCUCCGCAAUGCUCGAAAGAGCGACGGGGGGACUCCAAGUGCCUACGCUCAGCGUAGGCUGUUCCCGAGCCUAAAAAGCUCGGGGAGUAAGGGCUGGGUAAGACGGGUGCCAGCCGCCGCGGUAAUACCCGCAGCCCGAGUGGUGGCCGCUAUUAUUGGGCCUAAAGCGUCCGUAGCCGGCUCGGUAAAUGCCUGGGUAAAUCGUCUGGCCCAACCAGACGAAUUCCGGGUAGACUGCCGGGCUAGGGGACCGGAGGAGGGAGAGGGUACUCCAGGGGUAGGGGUGAAAUCAGCAAGGUGAGUUGCUGAUGUAACUUGCCUUGCAAGUCACAAUCCUGUAAUCCCUGGAGGACCACCGGUGGCGAAGGCGCUCUCCUAGGACGGGUCCGACGGUGAGGGACGAAAGCCAGGGGAGCAAACCGGAUUAGAUACCCGCGUAGU